AGCGGCGAACGGGUGAGUAACACGUAGGUGAUCUGCCCAUCAGACGGGGACAACGAUUGGAAACGAUCGCUAAUACCGGAUAGGACGAAAGUUUAAAGGUGCUUCUGGCACCGCUGAUGGAUGAGCCUGCGGCCCAUUAGCUAGUUGGUAGGGUAAAGGCCUACCAAGGCGACGAUGCGUAGCCGACCUGAGAGGGUGAACGGCCACACUGGGACUGAGACACGGCCCAGACUCCUACGGGAGGCAGCAGUAGGGAAUCUUCGGCAAUGGGCGAAAGCCUGACCGAGCAACGCCGCGUGAAUGAUGAAGGCCUUCGGGUUGUAAAAUUCUGUUAUAAGGGAAGAACGACUUUAGUAGGAAAUGGCUAGAGUGUGACGGUACCUUAUGAGAAAGCCACGGCUAACUACGUGCCAGCAGCCGCGGUAAUACGUAGGUGGCGAGCGUUAUCCGGAAUUAUUGGGCGUAAAGAGCGCGCAGGUGGUUGAUUAAGUCUGAUGUGAAAGCCCACGGCUUAACCGUGGAGGGUCAUUGGAAACUGGUCGACUUGAGUGCAGAAGAGGGAAGUGGAACUCCAUGUGUAGCGGUGAAAUGCGUAGAGAUAUGGUGGAACACCAGUGGCGAAGGCGGCUUCCUGGUCUGUAACUGACACUGAGGCGCGAAGGCGUGGGGAGCAAACAGGAUUAGAUACCCUGGUAGUCCACGCCGUAAACGAUGAGUGCUAAGUGU
rnacentral:rRNA from 1 species